GUUAGCUUCCGGAACUUGUGGGCUCAAGCCAUUGAGCAUAUGGGUAUGGUGUAGGUUAAGUGGGUGUUUAUGCAUUGGAAUUGAAUUGGAAUUACUUGGAGGUUUGUUGGUGACCAAGGCUUGUUUUAGGGCUGUUUGAUUGAGCUUGGAGGGGCUAUAAUUUUGAGUUGUGAGGCUGCCUUGGGUGAACUAAGUGAUCGGCCAAGAUGCAGGUCGAGAGGCUCCUCGUUCGGCGUCUGGAUCCUGGGAAGCAAAGUAGUCCUUGGGUGUAUUUUGGUUUUCUGUU